rnacentral:lncRNA from 1 species
ACCCAAAAAUCAAAAACUCUUCAAGAUUUCCCGUCACAUCGAAUCUUACGGCACAUGCAUGAAGCAUUAAAUAUAGGUAAAAAAACUAAUUGCACAGUUUACCUAUAAAUCACGAGACGAAUCUUUUAAGUCUAGUUACUCUAUAAUUGAACAAUGUUUACCAAAUAUAAAAUGAAAAUACUACAAUGCUAAAAUCCAAAAACUUUUUUAAUCUAAACAAUGCCUAAGAAUCGAACCCAUGACCCAGAGUAGCGUGGCCCAGCAUUUAACAGGUAAAAUAAAUAGGAAAAAUAAACAAGGCCUAAGAAUCGAACCCAUGGCCUAGAGUGGCGUGGCCCACCAUUUAACAGGUAAAAUAAAUAGGAAAAAAAACUAGAGACCAGG